GGAGUUAUCGACCUGCAUUUUUAAUAGGCAUCCUCCAGGUUUCUACCGUCUGUGGAACAUGGAAUCAAACCAGAAUAUGUUGGCACAACAGGCCAGUAAAACCGGUUCUUCCGUAGAUCCAGAACCUGUCCAACCAGUCUGUAUCAAAGGCUAGCCCAACAUGCUGCAGCGGCUCAGCUCUGCUAAGCUUGUACUGGAAUGACGGGGAAAAUGGAAGGAGAAAAAAAAACAAUGCUAAAAAGCCUGGAGAUGACCACAUAUGAAAGGACCAUGUGUGCAAAGGACUGCUGGAAAAUGAAUCAGGCUUGGGUCCCAGCUCCAAAAUAUCUCAUUAUCUAUAUGUGAAUAUCCCCAAAUUUGAAAAAUUCAAAAUCUGGAACACUUCUGGUCCCAAGCAUUUCAGAUAUGGAACCUGGGGAAACAGAGGGCCCGCUGUCCCUACAGCAGAGAGGAUACAGCAACACAAGCCUUUACCCCUAAGAAGGAAGAUGUCGCUUGAUCACUGUGAGAUGCUAUGUGUUCCUUGAGAUUGGUUUGUGGCCUCAGGUCACAGGGCAAAAGGAUGAGAGGAACCUGGAGGUUUAUUAGAGACAGGAGCGUAGGGGACCACAGUGGCCACUGUGAGUAUUAACUGCAGCACGGCUUUCAGGGAGGAAAUGGAUGCCCUCCUUGCCCACAUUCAGAGAGCAGCAUUGCCUUCGGAGCUUACUAACUCCUGCCAAUGCCAGCCAAAUGUCUGGUAGCACUGUUGCUGCUGGAAAGGGACCCAGUGAACACUCUCCUUUUCUGAGUAAUUUUAUGACAAAGAUGAACAAUAGGUCAGAUGGAAACUGAGAUGCCGACUGUUAGAAUCUUGGAUGUGCAGUGAAAGUGGGCAUCUUUACUUAUACAAAAUACUUGGACUGAGACUGACCCACCUGGCCUCGGGCAGUGCUGCACUUCUGCAGGCUGCUCUCUGUGGGGCCUGCCCUGGAAAACUAGCACAGAGGAGCACUUCACCCUGCAGAUGGCUGGCUUCCGAGAUGAAGAGGAUGAUAAGAAGAUGCUGAGGUGUGUGUGUCCAGUUCCUCUCCCAGAUUCGUCAACUCAGAAAGAACGUUUGUCCUGGCAGUCUUUCAGCCACAAAGCUGUGAGAAAUGGGGCUAAAUAUUAAUGAUAACUGCUUGGAUUAUAAUGAAGAAUCAAUCAAAACACAUACUGUUGAUGAAGAUGCCUUGAACACCAUGGAUGCUUUGGAGUAAGGGAUUAUGACUACAGCAACUUUUGGCUCCCUUCUCUAUUUAAGGGUUACACAGGCUUUGUUUAAUAUCUCGGUGUCUCAGUCCUUUCGGUUGAAGCACAGGGCAUGCUUUAACUACCUGAGAUUAGCUGCUAAACCCUGCAGCAAGCCAGCGUCUCCUCCCCGCUACCCCUCAUACGUCAGGAUCUGCUCUGGCAAUGGGCCAGUGGUGAUGUGUGGGAAUGCAGCCCUUUGUGUUUGUUUUUGGUGUUUGAUUUGGUGGCCUUGGUCACGGAUUGGCUUCCUUCUUUGAAACUGAACAUCUUCCAUUCCUUUGUGAUUGAGUGACAAAAGUUCAACCUGCACAUGCCAAAAUGAACAGCCUAGAAAACUGAUUAUGGUUUCAGAACCAGCUUAAAAAAAAAAAGCAACAAAACCCUUCCAGUCACCCAGAGUUCUAAACAUAAUCGGUUGGUUCCCAGAAGUACAAUAAAAGGAAGCCAGAAG
rnacentral:lncRNA from 1 species